GGUAGGGGAUUCUGCUAUCAGUUCCAGAGUCGUGGUUACUGCAGCAGAGAGCAUUGCCCCUGGUCCCAUACGCAUGGAGACGAGGGAUAUUCACAGAAAAACGAUCGCCACUUUGAGAGACCUCAGCAUGACAGGCGGCCUUUAAGCAACGAGAGACCUCAGCAUGACAGGCGGCCCUCAAGCAACGAGAGACCUCAGCAUGACAGGCGGCCUUCGAGCAACGAGAGACCUCAGCAUGACAGGCAAAACGAUAAACAUUUUGAUUGUCAAGCGUCAGGCAGCGAGGGGCAGCAAGAUAGGCCCGACAACAGGCAGGGCAGCUGGGAUAACGGUGAGAAGACUGAUAAGUCAGAAUCAAAAGAGAGGCAGUAGAAGCAUGGCGACGGCUUCUUCUGGUCCAUUGUCCUGUUUUGUUGUAUAUGCAGUAGCUAGCCUGCGGGCCUCCGAAC
rnacentral:lncRNA from 1 species